GGACGUGGCGUAAUGGUAGCGCAUUGGAUUUCGGCUCCAAAGGCUGCGGGUUCGAGUCCUGUCGUCC
rnacentral:tRNA from 1 species